CCUACGGGAGGCAGCAGUCGAGAAUCAUUCACAAUGGGGGAAACCCUGACGGUGCGACGCCGCGUGGGGGAAUGAAGGUCUUCGGAUUGUAAACCCCUGUCAUGUGGGAGCAAAUUAAAAAUAUAGUACCACAAGAGGAAGAGACGGCUAACCCGGUGCCAGCAGGCGCGGUAAUUCAGAGGUCCCAAGCGUUGUUCGGAAUCACGGGGCGUAAAGCGUGCGUAGGCGGUUUCGUAAGUCGUGUGUGAAAGGCCCGGGCUCAACGCGCGGACUGCACAUGAUACUGCGAGACUCGCGUGAUGGAGAGGGAACCGGAAUUCUCGGUGUAGCAGUGAAAUGCGUAGAUAUCGAGAGGAACACUCGUGGCGAAGGCGAGUUCCUGGACAUUAACUGACGCUGAGGAGCGAAAGCCAGGGGAGCGAAAGGGAUUAGAUACCCUUGUAGUC
rnacentral:rRNA from 1 species